rnacentral:tRNA from 1 species
AGGAGUGUAGCUCAACUGGUAGAGCACCGGUCUCCAAAACCGGGGGUUGAGGGUUCGAUCCCUUCCACUCCUGCCA